UACGUAGGGUGCAAGCGUUAUCCGGAAUUAUUGGGCGUAAAGGGCGCGUAGGCGGCUUGGCAAGUGGAUGGUGAAAUCCCUCGGCUUAACCGAGGAACUGCCGUCCAAACUGCUUCGCUUGAGACCGGGAGAGGUGAGUGGAAUUCCCAGUGUAGCGGUGAAAUGCGUAGAUAUUGGGAGGAACACCAGUGGCGAAGGCGGCUCACUGGACCGGUACUGACGCUGAUGCGCGAAAGCGUGGGGAGCAAACGGG
rnacentral:rRNA from 1 species